AAACCGGAGGAAGGUGGGGAUGACGUCAAAUCAUCAUGCCCCUUAUGACCUGGGCUACACACGUGCUACAAUGGCGUAUACAACGAGUUGCCAACCCGCGAGGGUGAGCUAAUCUCUUAAAGUACGUCUCAGUUCGGAUUGUAGGCUGCAACUCGCCUACAUGAAGUCGGAAUCGCUAGUAUCGCGUAACGCCC
rnacentral:rRNA from 1 species